GGGUGAAUAAUGCCUAGGAAAUUGCCCUGAUGUGGGGGAUAACCAUUGGAAACGUGGCUAAUACCGCAUGAUGCCUACGGGCCAAAGAGGGGGACCUUCGGGCCUCUCGCGUCAGGAUAUGCCUAGGUGGGAUUAGCUAGUUGGUGAGGUAAGGGCUCACCAAGGCGACGAUCCCUAGCUGGUCUGAGAGGAUGAUCAGCCACACUGGAACUGAGACACGGUCCAGACUCCUACGGGAGGCAGCAGUGGGGAAUAUUGCACAAGGGCGCAAGCCUGAUGCAGCCAUGCCGCGUGUAUGAAGAAGGCCUUCGGGUUGUAAAGUACUUUCAGUCGUGAGGAAGGUGGUAGUGUUAAUAGCACUAUCAUUUGACGUUAGCGACAGAAGAAGCACCGGCUAACUCCGUGCCAGCAGCCGCGGUAAUACGGAGGGUGCGAGCGUUAAUCGGAAUUACUGGGCGUAAAGCGCAUGCAGUGGUUUGUUAAGUCAGAUGUGAAAGCCCGGGGCUCAACCUCGGAAUUGCAUUUGAAACUGGCAGACUAGGUACUGUAGAGGGGGGUAGAAUUUCAGGUGUAGCGGUGAAAUGCGUAGAGAUCUGAAGGAAUACCCGGUGCGAGGCGGCCCCUGGACAGAUACUGACACUCAGAUGCGAAAGC
rnacentral:rRNA from 1 species